rnacentral:rRNA from 1 species
CCUACGUGAUGCAGCAGUGAGGAAUAUUGGUCAAUGGGCUUACGCCUGAACCAGCCAAGUCGCGUGAGGGAAGACUGCCCUAUGGGUUGUAAAACUCUUUUGUCAGGGAGCAACGCCGGCUACGUGUAGCCGGACUGAGAGUACCUGAAGAAAAAGCAUCGGCUAACUCCGUGCCAGCAGCCGCGGUAAUACGGAGGAUGCGAGUGUAAUCCGGAAUUAGUGGGUUCAAAUGGUGCGUAGGCGGAAUGCCAAGUCAGCGGUAAAAUCGCGGGGCUCAACCUCGCUCCGCCGUUGAAACUGGCGUUCUUGAGUGGGCGAGAAGUAUGCGGAAUGCGUGGUGUAGCGGUGAAAUGCAGAGAUAGCACGCAGAACUCCGAUUGCGAAGGCAGCAUACCGGCGCCCAACUGACGCUGAAGCACGAAAGCGUGGGUAUCGAACAGGAUUAGAUACCCGUGUAGUC